CUUUCUAUGCAGGUUGGGAUCAGUGGAAAUGCUGUUUGCCUUUGGUAUUGCACUUGUCCAAGCCUGUUGAGAUUAC
rfam:Ornithorhynchus anatinus chromosome 1, whole genome shotgun sequence.